CUUGCUAUUUUUAUGAAGAGCGGCGAACGGGUGAGUAACGCGUGGGAAAUCUGCCGAGUAGCGGGGGACAACGUUUGGAAACGAACGCUAAUACCGCAUAACAAUGAGAAUCGCAUGAUUCUUAUUUAAAAGAAGCAAUUGCUUCACUACUUGAUGAUCCCGCGUUGUAUUAGCUAGUUGGUAGUGUAAAGGACUACCAAGGCGAUGAUACAUAGCCGACCUGAGAGGGUGAUCGGCCACACUGGGACUGAGACACGGCCCAGACUCCUACGGGAGGCAGCAGUAGGGAAUCUUCGGCAAUGGGGGCAACCCUGACCGAGCAACGCCGCGUGAGUGAAGAAGGUUUUCGGAUCGUAAAACUCUGUUGUUAGAGAAGAACGUUAAGUAGAGUGGAAAAUUACUUAAGUGACGGUAUCUAACCAGAAAGGGACGGCUAACUACGUGCCAGCAGCCGCGGUAAUACGUAGGUCCCAAGCGUUGUCCGGAUUUAUUGGGCGUAAAGCGAGCGCAGGUGGUUUCUUAAGUCUGAUGUAAAAGGCAGUGGCUCAACCAUUGUGUGCAUUGGAAACUGGGAGACUUGAGUGCAGGAGAGGAGAGUGGAAUUCCAUGUGUAGC
rnacentral:rRNA from 1 species